CGAUGGUGUCAUUCUGUGAUACGUGUACCAUAUUUACGUGUAAUGUUUAAAACUGUUUUAAAAAAGUAUUAUAGUAAUAACGACAAGUUUCUACGUGAACUUUGUGCUGCGCGAUGCCAUAGUUGUAUGUUAGAUGCAUACAUUUUUGUGCUACAUGCAAGCAAGGUGAAGUAAUCAUUAAUUGACCUAAAUAAAAACAAUAACAACAUCGCUGGCGGUAGGAUUUACAGGACCAAAUCAAAUGUCGUGAUCUAAUCAGGACUGCGUACACGUCACACGGCCUAUUAAUGAUGAACCUACACGACUUUAACCUAGGAAAUACUAUUUCUGUGCUCAGCUGUGAUUGGAUGUUGACUCAUGGUUAAUCUACACUAGCAUUCACAACUAUGUUUACA